rnacentral:rRNA from 1 species
UACGGAGGGUGCAAGCGUUGCUCGGAAUUAUUGGGCGUAAAGGGUAGGUAGGUGGUCUCGUUUGUCUGGGUGAAAGCCUUGAGCUUAACUCAAGAAGUGCCUUAGAAACGGCGAGACUAGAGGUCUGGAGAGGGUCGUGGAAUUCCCGGUGUAGCGGUGAAAUGCGUAGAGAUCGGGAGGAACACCAGAGGCGAAAGCGGCGACCUGGACAGAUACUGACACUCAACUACGAAAGCGUGGGGAGCGAACAGG